AGCGGAAGGCCCUUCGGGGUACUCGAGCGGCGAACGGGUGAGUAACACGUGAGCAACCUGCCCUAGGCUUUGGGAUAACCCUCGGAAACGGGGGCUAAUACCGGAUAUUCACUUGCGGACGCAUGUUUGUGGGUGGAAAGUUUUUCGGCUUGGGAUGGGCUCGCGGCCUAUCAGCUUGUUGGUGGGGUGAUGGCCUACCAAGGCGACGACGGGUAGCCGGCCUGAGAGGGCGACCGGCCACACUGGGACUGAGACACGGCCCAGACUCCUACGGGAGGCAGCAGUGGGGAAUAUUGCACAAUGGGCGGAAGCCUGAUGCAGCGACGCCGCGUGAGGGAUGACGGCCUUCGGGUUGUAAACCUCUUUCAGCAGGGACGAAGCGCAAGUGACGGUACCUGCAGAAGAAGCGCCGGCCAACUACGUGCCAGCAGCCGCGGUAAGACGUAGGGCGCGAGCGUUGUCCGGAUUUAUUGGGCGUAAAGAGCUCGUAGGCGGCUUGUCGCGUCGACUGUGAAAACCCGUGGCUCAACUGCGGGCCUGCAGUCGAUACGGGCAGGCUAGAGUUCGGUAGGGGAGACUGGAAUUCCUGGUGUAGCGGUGAAAUGCGCAGAUAUCAGGAGGAACACCGGUGGCGAAGGCGGGUCUCUGGGCCGAUACUGACGCUGAGGAGCGAAAGCGUGGGGAGCGAACAGGAUUAGAUACCCUGGUAGUCCACGCUGUAAACGUUGGGCGCUAGGUGUGGGGGGGCCUCUCCGGUUCUCUGUGCCGCAGCUAACGCAU
rnacentral:rRNA from 1 species